GACGAACGCUGGCGGCGUGCUUAACACAUGCAAGUCGAACGGAAAGGCCCUGCUUUUGUGGGGUGCUCGAGUGGCGAACGGGUGAGUAACACGUGAGUAACCUGCCCUUGACUUUGGGAUAACUUCAGGAAACUGGGGCUAAUACCGGAUAGGAGCUCCUGCUGCAUGGUGGGGGUUGGAAAGUUUCGGCGGUUGGGGAUGGACUCGCGGCUUAUCAGUUUGUUGGUGGGGUAGUGGCUUACCAAGGCUUUGACGGGUAGCCGGCCUGAGAGGGUGACCGGCCACAUUGGGACUGAGAUACGGCCCAGACUCCAACGGGAGGCAGCAGUGGGGAAUAUUGCACAAUGGGCGGAAGCCUGAUGCAGCAACGCCGCGUGCGGGAUGACGGCCUUCGGGUUGUAAACCGCUUUCGCCUGUGACGAAGCGUGAGUGACGGUAAUGGGUAAAGAAGCACCGGCUAACUACGUG
rnacentral:rRNA from 1 species